CUUAUUUUAAUUCUUAAAACACAAAAUUAAGUAUCUCUCCUCCCCAAAUUCAAUUCCCCUAAACCACCCCCGUCUCCACACUACUCUCCCCUCCCCCGUCUGAAUCAGCGCCGCCCCUCCUUCCUCCGCCGUGAAUCCCUCCCCUUCGUUUGUCUAUUCUUUCUGUAGCUCCACACCAGCCUCUCCCCUCUCCCGCGGCGAUUACUCCGACCCCAACUCGGCACCGUGGCCCCUCCUUCCUGUUUCCGCGUAGCAAUUUCUCCCUCUCUUCCGCCGCGAUUCGCGUCACCGCCGCUGCCGCAAUCGCCAGAGAUCUACUCCAAUCUGCCACCGCGGCCCCUUCUUCCUGUCUCCGCGUAGCAAUUUCUCCCUCUCUUCCGUCGCGAUUCGCGUCACCGCCGCUGCCGCAAUCGCCAGAGAUCUGCUCCGAUCUGCCUCCCACUCCACCAAUUUCUUCAUUCUGCCUCCCGCUGCGAUUGGCUUCGCCGCGCCGGCCACCGCCGAGAUCGACACAGUCCGCCGCCUCGCCAUGUUGACUGGAAUCCGAGUGCAGUCUCACCGCCUCUUUGUGAUUUCCGACGACCACGGCAGCCAUGUCCGCCGAUCUGCCACCUCCCUUCCCCCAUAUGAUUUUUGGUUUAGAGGAUUAAGGGAUUGCUUACUUUAAAUCGAGCUGUAGGGAUCGAUAUAUACUUAUCUAUCAGGUUCUUUGAGAACCUUUGCUCAUGUACGAACAUGAAGAAAUUAUCAUUAUAUGACCAAGGUUUGUGAUUUGAUAAAGAUCAUCGAUUCCUCAUUCAAAUAAAUAUGAAUAAUUGUGCAAGGAUAACAUAGAUGAUAAUGUUAAUCUUGAUUGUUAUGUAUAUAAUUGAGGUGGCUUGAUCUUGAUGGGUUGGUGCUAGGCCAAGAAUCUGCAAACAAAUUAUAUUUCGUGCAGGAGGAAGAAGAAGAUGACGACUGAGUAAAUUUUGAAUUCGAUGAUGAAGAUGUUUGGUUACAGUCAUAAUAUGUUAUCUACUGUAUAUGAAAUUCUCCUUCUCCACAGCAUGAAUAUGGCCAAUCUUUUAGUGUUAUCCACUGAUGCAGAGUUUCAAUUUUUUUUUUGAAUUGCUGUGGAAGCCAUUUUCAAGCAUUAUAAUUGAUACUUUUUGGAGCCAUUUAUGAUCUGCCUUUAUUUUCUCCACUCCCUUUCUGAUCUACCUAUGUUACACAACACAUGGCCUUUUAUAAAUGAAAGGCCCUUUAUAAGUUUUGUAUUUAUUAAUUCAGAUUUUAUAAAGUAUAUGCUUCGUUAUAUACUAAUGUUGUGACUCACUUUGAUUGCUUAACAAUUUUACAGGACUGUGAGAUCACAUGGUGAUUCAAUUUCAGAAGCCAAAACAACAAAUUUUAGAAGCCAAAACAGCAGAUGAAAAAGUUCAGUCCCCAUCCUCAAAGGAUUAAAGUAGAAUCUAUAACUAUAUUACUCCAUGUAAUAUGAUUGCAAAUAAUAAUCGUUAAACAUAAUUUUUUUAUUCAUGUUAUUAUUUAUUUAUACAAUGAUGUCUACAAUUUCAGAACCCCAUAUAAAGACGUCAAGUUGUAACCUUCUGUUUUA